rnacentral:rRNA from 1 species
GGUUAAGCGAACAAGCGUACACGGUGGAUGCCCUGGCAGUCAGAGGCGAUGAAGGACGUGCUAAUCUGCGAAAAGCGCCGGUAAGGUGAUAUGAACCGUUAUAACCGGCGAUGUCCGAAUGGGGAAACCCGGUGCACUUCGGUGCAUCAUCGUUAGCUGAAUACAUAGGCUAACGAGGCGAACCGGGGGAACUGAAACAUCUAAGUACCCCGAGGAAAAGAAAUCAACCGAGAUUCCCCCAGUAGCGGCGAGCGAACGGGGAACAGCCCAGAGCCUGAAUCAGCUUGUGUGUCAGUGGAACGGUCUGGAAAGGCCGGCGAUACAGGGUGACAGCCCCGUACACGAAGGCACACAGGCUGUGAGCUCGAUGAGUAGGGCGGGACACGUGAUAUCCUGUCUGAAGAUGGGGGGACCAUCCUCCAAGGCUAAAUACUCCUGACUGACCGAUAGUGAACCAGUACCGUGAGGGAAAGGCGAAAAGAACCCCGGCGAGGGGAGUGAAACAGAACCUGAAACCGUGUACGUACAAGCAGUGGGAGCCUUCGUAAGAGGGUGACUGCGUACCUUUUGUAUAAUGGGUCAGCGACUUAUAUUCUGUAGCAAGGUUAACCGUAUAGGGGAGCCGAAGGGAAACCGAGUCUUAACCGGGCGUUAAGUUGCAGGGUAUAGACCCGAAACCCGGUGAUCUAGCCAUGGGCAGGUUGAAGGUUGGGUAACACUAACUGGAGGACCGAACCGACUAAUGUUGAAAAAUUAGCGGAUGACCUGUGGCUGGGGGUGAAAGGCCAAUCAAACCGGGAGAUAGCUGGUUCUCCCCGAAAGCUAUUUAGGUAGCGCCUCGUGAACUCAUCUCCGGGGGUAGAGCACUGUUUCGGCUAGGGGCCAUCCCGGCUUACCAACCCGAUGCAAACUGCGAAUACCGGAGAAUGUUAUCACGGGAGACACACGGCGGGUGCUAACGUCCGUCGUGAAGAGGGAAACAACCCAGACCGCCAGCUAAGGUCCCAAAGUCAUGGUUAAGUGGGAAACGAUGUGGGAAGGCCCAGACAGCCAGGAUGUUGGCUUAGAAGCAGCCAUCAUUUAAAGAAAGCGUAAUAGCUCACUGGUCGAGUCGGCCUGCGCGGAAGAUGUAACGGGGCUAAACCAUGCACCGAAGCUGCGGCAGCGACGCUUAUGCGUUGUUGGGUAGGGGAGCGUUCUGUAAGCCUGCGAAGGUGUGCUGUGAGGCAUGCUGGAGGUAUCAGAAGUGCGAAUGCUGACAUAAGUAACGAUAAAGCGGGUGAAAAGCCCGCUCGCCGGAAGACCAAGGGUUCCUGUCCAACGUUAAUCGGGGCAGGGUGAGUCGACCCCUAAGGCGAGGCCGAAAGGCGUAGUCGAUGGGAAACAGGUUAAUAUUCCUGUACUUGGUGUUACUGCGAAGGGGGGACGGAGAAGGCUAUGUCGGCCGGGCGACGGUUGUCCCGGUUUAAGCGUGUAGGCUGACUUUCCAGGCAAAUCCGGAAAGUUAAGGCUGAGGCGUGAUGACGAGGCACCACGGUGCUGAAGUGACAAAUGCCCUGCUUCCAGGAAAAGCCUCUAAGCAUCAGGUAACAUCAAAUCGUACCCCAAACCGACACAGGUGGUCAGGUAGAGAAUACCAAGGCGCUUGAGAGAACUCGGGUGAAGGAACUAGGCAAAAUGGUGCCGUAACUUCGGGAGAAGGCACGCUGACAUGUAGGUGAAGCCCCUGCGGGUGGAGCUGAAGUCAGUCGAAGAUACCAGCUGGCUGCAACUGUUUAUUAAAAACACAGCACUGUGCAAACACGAAAGUGGACGUAUACGGUGUGACGCCUGCCCGGUGCCGGAAGGUUAAUUGAUGGGGUUAUCGCAAGAGAAGCUCCUGAUCGAAGCCCCGGUAAACGGCGGCCGUAACUAUAACGGUCCUAAGGUAGCGAAAUUCCUUGUCGGGUAAGUUCCGACCUGCACGAAUGGCGUAAUGAUGGCCAGGCUGUCUCCACCCGAGACUCAGUGAAAUUGAACUCGCUGUGAAGAUGCAGUGUACCCGCGGCAAGACGGAAAGACCCCGUGAACCUUUACUACAGCUUGACACUGAACAUUGAGCCUUGAUGUGUAGGAUAGGUGGGAGGCUUUGAAGCGUGGACGCCAGUCUGCGUGGAGCCGACCUUGAAAUACCACCCUUUAAUGUUUGAUGUUCUAACCUGGCGCCAUAAUCUGGCGUGGGGACAGUGUCUGGUGGGUAGUUUGACUGGGGCGGUCUCCUCCCAAAGUGUAACGGAGGAGCACGAAGGUCAGCUAAUCCUGGUCGGACAUCAGGAGGUUAGUGCAAUGGCAUAAGCUGGCUUGACUGCGAGAGUGACGGCUCGAGCAGGUGCGAAAGCAGGUCAUAGUGAUCCGGUGGUUCUGUAUGGAAGGGCCAUCGCUCAACGGAUAAAAGGUACUCCGGGGAUAACAGGCUGAUACCGCCCAAGAGUUCAUAUCGACGGCGGUGUUUGGCACCUCGAUGUCGGCUCAUCACAUCCUGGGGCUGAAGUAGGUCCCAAGGGUAUGGCUGUUCGCCAUUUAAAGUGGUACGCGAGCUGGGUUUAGAACGUCGUGAGACAGUUCGGUCCCUAUCUGCCGUGGGCGCUGGAGAAUUGAGGGGGGCUGCUCCCAGUACGAGAGGACCGGAGUGGACGCAUCACUGGUGUUCGGGUUGUCAUGCCAAUGGCACUGCCCGGUAGCUAAAUGCGGAAGAGAUAAGUGCUGAAAGCAUCUAAGCACGAAACUUGCCCCGAGAUGAGUUCUCCCUGAGACUAUAAGUCUCCUGAAGGAACGUUGAAGACGACGACGUUGAUAGGCCGGGUGUGUAAGCGCAGCGAUGCGUUGAGCUAACCGGUACUAAUGAACCGUGAGGCUUAACCUU